rnacentral:rRNA from 1 species
UGUAGUCAUAUGCUUGUCUCAAAGAUUAAGCCAUGCAUGUCUAAGUAUAAGCAAUUAUACUGCGAAACUGCGAAUGGCUCAUUAUAUAAGUUAUCGUUUAUUUGAUAGCACUUUACUACAUGGAUAACUGUGGUAAUUCUAGAGCUAAUACAUGCUAAAAAUCCCGACUUCGGAAGGGAUGUAUUUAUUAGAUUAAAAGCCAACGCCCUUCGGGGCUUCGUGGUGAUUCAUGAUAACUUUUCGAAUCGCAUGGCCUUGCGCCGGCGAUGGUUCAUUCAAAUUUCUUCCCUAUCAACUUUCGAUGCGAAGGUCUUGUCUUCGCAUGGUUGCAACGGGUAACGGGGA